GCUCAUUUCUAUUUUAAAUCAGUCCCAACUUUACGCUGGGCACACAGAUGGAGGGGGGGCUUCUGCCUCGCUGUCUUGAGGAAGAGACUCUGAAACAUACAAAGAGUGAUUUGAGCAAAGCCCAGUGGCAGCAGUGAGUACUAUCAGCAGCUAGUAUUUUACCUAAGGCUAGGACGUGAAGAGGAAACGCCUGAUGAGAAUUUUAUACCAGUCGAGGGUUAAGAGAAGAGGCCUGGCAAGCCCAGCUGCAGCCAUUGACCAAAUAGCAAAGCCACACCCCUCCCGCCACCUCCCGGCAUGCGCGGACCGGUGGACCUGCCUGCAGCGUGCCUCGCUGGCUUCCUGGAUGAAGAACGGAACCCCAAGGCUGCACGGCUUGACCAAGGCCCUCAACCGUAAAACAGGGAUAGACACCCCACCCGGGCCUGCUCCCCGGUCACAGCAGGUGCCUGAGACUCUGACCACAUUCAGGAAAACCUGAUGAAAGUUGGUAAAACCUCAGCGUUGUCACCGAUGGUCAGAUUCUCCGAAGUGCCCUGGGAAUCGUUGCACUCGGCCAGAAGGAGGACGCCACCGUUCCUGUGCGUAACUGAUGCUGCAGAGGGUGGACUCUGGGACUCAUACAAGGCUCCUUUCUCCACCUUUGGUCUGAAGCCCACGUGCCUGUGUAGGGCUCUGGCCUCUAUCUGGUUCUUACCUCUGACUUCCUCUUAUUUUUCCCUUCAAGUUUUCCCCUUGCCUGAAUUCCAUCACUUCCUAAUUACAUCCUGCUUUAUGGCAGUGUCUCUAUAAGCUGUGUGUGACCUUUCGGGUUAUGGGAUCAGAUAUUUUCAAAAGCUCAUGUGUAAAUUCUCCAUGGGCAAGCAGAUCUCAAUUGUAAACGUGAAUUAAAUAAAAACGAAUUUAAGCCAGGGCCUCUGGAGGGCAGCCUGCUCCUCCUCAGCUCAGCUGUGCGUCUCACUGCGUCGCGGUGCCUUCCGCUUGUGGCGGAACCUGCCUAGCGUUGGCGCGGAUGCUCCGCAUGAAUAGGACGCAAUGCUGAUUUCGUAGAUGAAGACACUGAAGUUCAGAGAAAUGAAGCUCCUUCUCUGAGUUGCCCAAAAAGGAGGGGAGGGGUCGGGCUGUGAACUCCUUGGGUAAGUCAGGUCUUGCCCCCAUCUGAACCAGAGACUGCCGACGUCCAGCCAAGUUCUGACUUUUCCAUGUGGGACACCUGGGCCAGCCGAGGACAGGCAGCUCCCUCAAGACCCCCUGAGGGUCCCCAGCUCAGGUUCCCCACUCAGAAAUAAGCUGACUUUCUCCAAAUCAACGCUGAGUCCACUCAACCAUCUUUCUCCAGAUGCAAACUAAAACCAAUGCUCACCACAGAAAAUUUGAAAAAGACUAAACGUUUAGAGAAAUGAAAUGAACACUGCCCGUGUGAUGACAGCCCAGGGACAAUUGCCAGCAGCCCCCUGGGGUGGCUCUCCUGAGCGCCUCGUGCUGGCAGCCCUCUGGGGUGGCUCUCCUGAGCGCCUCUCCUGGUGGGUGUUUGCUGUGAGUCAUUGGCGCUGUGCUUUGCUGCCACAGAACCCAUGAAAAGGCACUUCCCCGGCACUCACCUUCUUCCCAUGCACACCUGCUCACGGCUGCGUCUCACGGCAUCCUAGAGGCUCCCUUGCGGGGAGUGACUGGGACUCGCCACUUGGGGAUGGUGCAGAGGUGAGGCCGGCUGGGACCCAGGAAGACCCCAGCCUGGCGGAGGUGAGCAUUUCACAGACAUCAGCUUCAUUCUUCGGUAUAGCGGCUAGGAUUGUCGUCUCUUCUUGUGGAAUAAGUUACUGGGCUUUUAAAAAAAUAAUUAUUUAGGCUGGGCAUGGUGGCUCUACCUAUAAUUAUGGCAAUUUGGGAAGCCAAGGUGGGAGGGUCACUUGAGACCGGGAGUUCAAGACCAGCCUGGGCAACCUAGGGAGACCCCAUCUCUACAAAAAUGUUAAAAAGUCAGGUGUGGCGGCGUGCACCUAUGGUCCCAGCAACUCGGGAGGCUGAGGGGGGAGAACUGCUUGAGCCUGGGAGGUGGAGGUUGCAGUGAGCGGAGAUCGUGCCACUGCAGUCUGGGUGACAUAAUAAUAAUAAUAACAAGAUAAAUUUUAAAUUGUUAUUUGCUAAACAAUGCCCCGGCCUUCCUGUAUGGCGGCUGUCGUCAUCCAGCCUUUGAACACUUCCCUCAGCGUCUGAUGUCUCAGGAGGCCACAGCCCCGGGCAGGCCCGCCGUUCCCAUGUUUUCCCUGCCUCGUUGGCGCCGCCAGGGUCCCUCUGUGUGAGGGAGAUGUUCCGUAAACACAGGGCCAGCAGCCGCAUCCACAGACUCGCAGGGAGAGGCUCGGCACAACGUGGCCCCACAGCAAACUCUCUGAGCAGUUUUAGGGUUCUGGGUCCUGGAGGGGGCUCACCCAGGCACAUUCUCACCAGCAGUGGGUGGGCCGUGGCCCGCCAGCCAGGACCAGCCCUUCCUGAAACCCGGCAAACCUUGUCCUCUCACAAGCCCCCCCCCCGCCUCCCAGCCACGGCCCAUUUCCACGUAUAAAUCAAUUUGUCUCCACUGAGGGGAGAGAAUUGCAAAGCAAACAAAUUAUGCCCGCCCCAUUGAGCCCCAGGCACUCUGGCCCGGGCUUAGAGCGUCGGAAGGGAUUUUUUUUUCCUCCACUUCUCUCAUAAAAUGACCACCCCCCGGCGGGAAGAGACAGAAUGCCGUGUAGCUCCUGGAGAACCACUCCCAAGUUCAUCUCUCCUCAAACGGCCACCUCGGCAAAAACGCAGAGACCCAGCCGUCGCCUGGUAGGGCCUGUGCGUGUCUCUCACGGCUGCUGGAGGAAGCCCCACCAAUGGGGUGCCCUCAAUGGCAGACAUUUAUUUUCACACAGUCCUGCCUGGAGGCCAGAGUCCAAAAUCAAAGUGCUGGCAGGACCACACUCUGGGUCCUCCCCGGCAUCUCACAGGUCCUGGCAUUGCUGGUCAGCCUUAAUGUCCCUCAGCUUGUGGCCUUCCC
rnacentral:lncRNA from 1 species